GACGUCACAGCCAAUCGUCAGGCGGGACGCAUCGACGCUCUAGCUCGCCGUGCUCUCACUGCUCCGCUGCCGCGUAGAGCAGGUCCUCUAGCCCGCGGAACUGGCUGGCCACUCACGCCAGCCCCAGAUAAGCCCCCAAGUCGAAGUACCGGACCCGGGCUUGGAAUUCCGGAUAUUUGGGCUCCUUGGUUGCAGAGGCACAAGGCGUGCGUGGGAGAAGGGCUCGGGUUCUUUAUGCUUAGGUCCAGGGACAGAAUAGGAAGGACCCUUCAGUGGGGAGGGAGUUACUCUCUUUCUUUUAUUAAUACUCUCGUCCCCUUCCCAACCCUCGACCACCCGUCCAUCAUGGACCUCGCCAGCACCUGCUCCAGCUUUCAGUCUGACCUGGAUUUCUGUCCGGAUUGCGGCUCGGUCCUGCCUCUUCCCGGAGCUCAGGAUACGGUCGCGUGUACUCGCUGUGGCUUCUCCAUCAACGUGCGAGACUUUGAGGCGAAGGUUGUGAAGACCUCAUUUGUGUUCCACAAACUGGGAACAGCCAUGCCCGUGUCGAUGGAGGAAGGACCUGAGUUCCAGGGACCCGUGGUUGACAGGCGCUGCUCUCGAUGUGGGCACGAGGGAAUGGCAUACCACACCAGACAGAUGCGCUCCGCUGAUGAAGGGCAGACCGUCUUCUACACCUGUACCAACUGCAAGUUCCAGGAGAAGGAAGACUCUUGAUUUUUUUCUGAGCGACUCAACAAUCUCUCCUUCUCUUCCUUGGAAGGUGAAAGAUACUGGGUUCUUAGAUCCUUUGUCCAUCUCCUGAUUGCGGUGUUUUGCUCCCAGAGGAAAAGCAGAUCAUCAUGUGGGGAUUACCGUUGUCCCCAGAGUACUCCUACCCUACAACGUGGAGGGAUGGGCAGGGCAGUUUUCUCCACUGUAUGUUUGAACAGUUCUCCUGCCUCACUCCUGAAAUCUAAAACAAAUCUGUUCAUGUUUCUACCCAGCUUUAAGCCUUUCACCGACUGGAUAAAGUGCAAGUUUCUUAGCAAAGCAUACAGGGCGUCUUAUAUAACCACGCCCACCUGUCAAUCACCAUUUGGAACUCCCCUUACAUCCCUUCAGUAUUAAACUGCAUUUCCUUCAG